GACGAACGCUGGCGGCGUGCUUAACACAUGCAAGUCGAACGGAAAGGCCCUGCUUUUGUGGGGUGCUCGAGUGGCGAACGGGUGAGUAACACGUGAUUAACCUGCCCUUUACUUUGGGAUAACUUCAGGAAACUGGGGCUAAUACCGGAUAGGAGCUCCUGCUGCAUGGUGGGGGUUGGAAAGUUUCGGCGGUUGGGGAUGGACUCGCGGCUUAUCAGCUUGUUGGUGGGGUAGUGGCUUACCAAGGCUUUGACGGGUAGCCGGCCUGAGAGGGUGACCGGCAACAUUGGGACUGAGAUACGGCCCAGACUCCUACGGGAGGCAGCAGUGGGGAAUAUUGCACAAUGGGCGGAAGCCUGAUGCAGCAACGCCGCGUGCGGGAUGACGGCCUUCGGGUUGUAAACCGCUUUCGCCUGUGACGAAGCGUGAGUGACGGUAAUGGGUAAAGAAGCACCGGCUAACUACGUG
rnacentral:rRNA from 1 species